rnacentral:misc_RNA from 1 species
AUGGACUACUCGGGUUUCUAAUCCUGUUUGCUCCCCACGCUUUCGAGCCUCAGCGUCAGAAACGUUCCAGAGCGCCGCCUUCGCCACCGGCCUUCCUCCCGAUCUCUACGCAUUUCACCGCUACACCGGGAAUUCCGCGCUCCUCUCCCGUCCUCUAGCCCAGCAGUCCCCUCCGACUGUUCCAGGUUAAGCCUGGAGAUUUCACAGAGGGCUUACCGAACCGCCUACGCUCCCUGUACGCCCAGUAAAUCCGAACAACGCUUGGGACCUCUGUAUUACCGCGGCUGCUGGCAC